GGGGGGGGGGGGUGAAAAUCCCAUCAGAUGAUUAAAAAAUAGGUCAGAGGGAAGAAGCUGCAGCCGGCACUGGGUCCGUGGUGAGAACGCCAUGAAGCUUCCCCAGGGCUUCGGGCCACAAUGGGGUGGGGGAGCUGAGGAGGGUUUGCAGGGGGCGGGUGAGCUAGCAGUGGGGACAAGAAAGCUGUGGGCCCAGCAGCUGGCCCUCUGUCUCCCUCAGCCUGUCUCAUGGGGACACUUUGGAAUUCUACCUGCGGUCCACCUUCUGGCCUUCCUGUACCAUCUUCCUCCUCAAAGGCAGGAAGAUGCAGCUCGUCCUCUGCCCACCCCUACCCCACCCACAAUAUAUACAGAUUCUACCCCAGGAACACUGAGACUGUUGCCCCCACUGAAAACCCUUCUUACCUUCUAGCCUGAGGUCCUCCGGCUGCAAAGGCAGCUGGCUGACUUAUUCUACAUUUCUUGCCCAUCUGAACAAAUUCACCUACCACUGCACUGUCUUUGAAAUCUUGCCAACUCUGCAUCCUGCUUGGGGUCUGCCUUGGCCCUCCAGCUUGUUCUCAGAGAUCCCUUUUCCCUCCUUCCCUCCUUUUCCUCCUUCUCAACUCCUGCCAUGAAACAUAAUAGAGGCCUGGAAAAGGCAAAAGGCAGAGAACAAGGAGGUGUGAGGUAGGAGACCCAGGAGCCUGAGGCAGGUUGAUGAUCUCCAAGCACUUAGUAGAUGGAGGCUAAGUGACUGUGUCUGGAUUGUACAGAACCCUGAGACACCUGGUGGUAUUCCCUUUAUUUAAGCAGUUUAGAGCCACCUCCCACCUUACCUACGUAAUGGUGGGAAGUCCUUUCAGUUGCCUUCCCACAGCCCCUCAUACUGCAGCUUAAUCCAAUUUCCUUUUCUGAGAUCCCUGAAACCCAUGGAGAGAUCAGCACCUACAGCUUGGAGUGGAAGAGAGGCCCGGGACCUACACGCCAUGCUCCGUUCCUCUCAAACCCCAGGCACAGGCAGAAAUCAGGCAGCCAACCAGCGGCCGGAGCAGAGGGACAGACCAGGCAUUAGCAGUGUCAUCUCCAGCUGAGUGGACACCUGGGUCUCAGCCACUGCGAUGGAGGGCACCCAAGGCCAUGUUGGCGCAGAAAUGGAUUGGCUAAAUCUGACCUUGAGUUUAACCCCACUUACCACCCCAGACACAGAUCCACUCUGACACACAAGUCUGAGAUUUCCCCGGGAGCCUGUUGUCUGCUGCCCACCCCCCUCAGUUACCCAAGAAGUGUCACAAGGCGUCCUGCUAACCUCCUUCCACCAGGGCCAUGGGCGGCUGGCACUCUGUGCAGGACCCUGAGACAGCCCCUGGACCUCUAGCCACAGGGGGCAUGAAGCUGGUGUGCCGCCCAUCUCUGCUCCCUCCCCAUGCCUGCCUCCAUUUCUUUCCAAUCAGUGGCACCAGAACCUGACGUUUCUGUGGGUUGGGGAGGGCUGCUUUGGUCAGGUUAAGUCCUCAGCAACUGGACCAGCAACUGGGAAUCAAGAUACUGGGCCAUGGCCUUUGCAUUUCACACACACACACACACUGACCUGGGGUCACCACCCAAGGCUCAGGGCCCCAGGAAUGGGCCGUGUACCAGGGUUCGCAGGCUCCCACUACCCUGGACAUAUUGCCAAGUCCAGCUUGUACUUGGUCUCAUGCCUUGACUCCCAGUGAGUUUGGAAACUGGAAAAACCCGAGUUCUUCCUGAUUCUCCCAUUCGCCCUGCUGCUGCUGGGGGCACGGAGGAAGAGACCAGAGAACACCCCCAGGCAAUUCACACCCUUGAUUUCGUUAGACUGCACAAUGCUGUGAGGUCACCUGGGCAGGGAUCAUGUUCCCCACUUUACAGACAAGGCAGAGAGAAGUUAAGUACCUUGUCAAGGUCACGCAGCUGAUGCCCCAAUGCUGGGCCCUUAUGCUGGCACCAUGCCUUCCCAUGACCCCAAAGAGGAUACUGUUGUUCUUCUCAUUUUACAGAUGAGCAAACUGAUGCUCAGAGGGGUGACUCAGUUUCCCCAGGCUCUCAGUUAUUUUUACCUGCUAUCCCUCUCUCCUCAUAAGGUGUCCCUCUCAACCCAAUUCCACCUUAGAGUCCUUCCCCUUCCUCCAGAGAAAGGCAAGACCCUAAUGCCUCCCCAGAUCACCCAGUGAGCUUUCCCCUGUACUCUGGGAAGUCACUCCUGGUGUCCUGUUCUGCAAAAUUAAACUCCAUUACUCAGCAAAUACCAUCCCAACCUAUGGGGCAGGAGGGGUGGGAAGCAGGACUGAGGAACUGAAAUGGGAGGGACUGGCUCAGAGGCACAGACACGGCCGGCUGGGCCGGGCAUGCUGGCAGUGGAGGAAACCGGGUCCAGACGGGAAGAGCCCGGGAGUCCCAGCUUCCAGGAGCAGGGGUAGGGGGUAGGGACAUUCCUCAGUUCUCUGAACUCCCUGCCCCUGGCAACCAGGCCCACCGCCUCACAUCCAAGCUGCGGACGAGCUCUGUGGUUCUGGCUCUGAGUCAGGCCCCAUCGCCCGGGCGUCCCCAGUGCCAUCUCCCUCCGCCCCGCCCCAGACUGGAAAAUGAGGCUCACGCUGCUGCCGGAGUCAGUGCUUCCCCUGCUUCCCCUCACGAUCUCGCUUUCCCCUAAAGGGAGGUAUUUCCUCGAAGCUGGGAAAAGUCAAGGGGGCAGAGACCUCACCAGCUACCGGGAGGGGAGGCGGAGGGUGGGCACCGGGCAGGGGGUGGGGGAGGGGCUACCCUGCCUUCCUGUCCCCCCUCCCCCCUUUCAGCCCAGCUCCCCAGUCCUGUUCUUCUAGUUCAUCGGAUGUGUGAGCGAGAGUGCGAGCGUGGUGUGUGCGUGUGUGUGCUUAACACAUGUGUGUGAUUGGUACUGGGGGUGAGUCCCCCUAGCCCCCAAAAGUGGAGGUGGGAUGGAGGAGGCGAGGUGCUGUGCCUCUGGUGUGCUUAUGAGUGACAUGAAUUUUUUUCCACACGUAUGUUCUUCAUAUGUUCCUGUUCACAUAAACUCUCCCUCCCUCCCAGAAUCACGAUUCUGGUCAGUACCCACCUCCCCACCUUGCAACCUG
ensembl:lncRNA